rnacentral:misc_RNA from 1 species
GAAAUGCGAUAAGUAAUGUGAAUUGCAGAAUUCAGUGAAUCAUCGAAUCUUUGAACACACCUUGCGCUCCUUGGUAUUCCUUGGAGCAUACCUGUUUGAGUAUCAUGAAAUCUUCAAAGUAAAUCUUUUGUUAACUCAAUUGGUUUCUACUUUGGUAUUGGAGGUCUUUGCAGCUUCACACCUGCUCCUCUUUGUUCAUUAGCUGGAUCUCAGUGUUAUGCUUGGUUCCACUCGGCGUGAUAAGUUAUCUAUCGCUGAGGACACUGUAAAAGGUGGCCAAGGUAAAUGCAGAUGAACCGCUUCUAAUAGUCCAUUGACUUGGACAAUACUUUUAUGAUCUGAUCUCAAAUCAGGUAGGACUACCCGCUGAACUUAAGC